rnacentral:rRNA from 1 species
AUGGGUUCCGUGGCUUGUCCGGUUUCGACAACGUGCGCGGAUGCUUCUACUUGGCGUCACCUUAAUUGGUUAGACAAGUUGUUCGUGCUGGACACACAAAGAAUGGAGUUUUUCACUGUGAACUAUCACACCGGCUAUGAUAUACUGCUCACACAUCUGCCUGGCCGGAUACUCAAAUUUCUCGCCAGUUACGAUAAACCCCCUAGAGUUCUACCUGGCCAGAACAGAAGUUUGCCUGGCAGUGUAGUAGGUAGAGAAGGAUACCUCGAGAUGUUUUCUCUCGUCGGUGAUCACAGCCCAAAUGGCUCAUUUGAUCUCUAUCAUAUGACUCAGCAAACCAAUGGUGAAUCUUCCAGUGAUUGGCAGCUAGAGAAUAUUAUACCGUUGCCUCGCAGAUAUGAUUAUUUCACCGUGAGUGCAGCUGAGGGACUCUUAUUCCUUGGAGCCACUACAGAAGAUCAAGUGGAUUUUGAUAUAGUUUCCGGGUACCAUUGUCCAGGACUGAUUGGGAUGUAG